GGCGCAGCUCGCGGACGCAGACGCCGCCCGCGCCGGUCUCGCGGCCGAGCGCGACGCCGAGAUCGCCCGGCUCGAGGCCGAUCGCGCCUC
rnacentral:tRNA from 1 species